UACACACCGCCCGUCACACCAUGGGAGUUGGGUUCACCCGAAGGCGUUGCGCUAACUCGCAAGAGAGGCAGGCGACCACGGUGGGCUUAGCGACUGGGGUGAAGUCGUAACAAGGUAGCCGUAGGUGAACCUGCAGAAGGAUCA
rnacentral:rRNA from 1 species